UACGAAGGGGGCUAGCGUUGUUCGGAAUUACUGGGCGUAAAGCGCGCGUAGGCGGAUAUUUAAGUCGGGGGUGAAAUCCCGGGGCUCAACCCCGAAACUGCCUUCGAUACUGGGUAUCUUGAGUUCGGAAGAGGUGAGUGGAAUUGCGAGUGUAGAGGUGAAAUUCGUAGAUAUUCGCAGGAACACCAGUGGCGAAGGCGGCUCACUGGUCCGAUACUGACGCUGAGGUGCGAAAGCGUGGGGAGCAAACAGG
rnacentral:rRNA from 1 species